AAUGGGGGAAACCCUGAUGCAGCAACGCCGCGUGAAGGAUGAAGGUUUUCGGAUCGUAAACUUCUUUGAUGAGGGACGAAUAAUGACGGUACCUCAAAAACAAGCCACGGCUAACUACGUGCCAGCAGCCGCGGUAAUACGUAGGUGGCAAGCGUUGUCCGGAUUUACUGGGUGUAAAGGGCGUGUAGGCGGGAAUGUAAGUCAGAUGUGAAACUCCGGGGCUCAACUUCGGAACUGCAUCUGAAACUAUGUUUCUUGAGUGAUGGAGAGGAAAGCGGUAUUCCUAGUGUAGCGGUGAAAUGCGUAGAUAUUAGGAGGAACACCAGUGGCGAAGGCGGCUUUCUGGACAUUAACUGACGCUGAGGCGCGAAAGCGUGGGGAGCAAA
rnacentral:rRNA from 1 species